AAUUUUUUAUAUGACGAGAUUAUUCAGUGUGUUCUCGGCAUAUAUAGUGCACUGCAUGUUUUUUUUAAAUAAAAAUGCACCUUUGAAAUGCCUACUAAGGUUUAUAUUUCUUGUGUUGCAAAUGGGUGUUGGAUUUCAAUGAAAAUUCUCAAAUGUACAAAGUACUAUUCAAAUUUAUAGUUUGCAGUGACAAUUUAGAGCUCAAAUGAUUCUGUGUGUGAAAUAAAUGAGUCUUUUGAUAAAUAUUUAUAAAUAUUUAUAAAUAUUUAUUAUUAUAAAUCCAUAGGCUGAAAAGGAAAAUUACACAGAGCAAUUAAAAAAAAAAAGUUGCUGAAUGCAGUGCAUGAUAAGUGUUGCACACGAGUGGUGGAUUUAAAUAAAAAUUAUCAAAUGUACUAAGUACUAUUCAUAUUUAAUAGUCUGCAGUGGCAAUUUAGAGCUCAAAUGAUUCUAUGUAUGAAAUAAAUGAGUCUUUUAUAAAUAUUUAUUAUAAUAAAUCCAUAGGCUGAAAAGGAAAAUUAAACAGCAAUUAAAAAAAAUAAACGUUGCUGAAAUUGGCAGAUACUGAAUGCAGUGCAUGAUAAAUGAAUGAGCAAAGUCAUUACUUGACUAACAGGAACGUGCAUGUUUACCAAAUCUAUUUUUGUAUAUUUAUAUUUAUUAGCACUAUUUAAUAUUUAUGAUGGUAGGAUAGGCUGUACACAUAUGAAGAUAAAAAAGAAUGUACCGCUGCUGAAUAUAUACGACUGAUGCACAGGCAGUCAAGGUCAGUGUCAAAUAUUAGGGAUGCAAGAAUGACAGCAAUUGGAUUGUAACUACAUGUAAAGUGUUCUGUCAUACAUGUAUGUAAUCUUAGCCUUCACCCUAAAUAAUUUGAUAUGCCUAAAUGUAUAGCCCCCCCCCCACCCCCUCAGAAAGAAAGACAAAUAAAAAGAAUAAUAUGAAAGUAUGUCCUAUCAUCUCAUUAUAGUAAAUUAAUAUACAUCUGUACGCAAUGAAAAACAACUUAAAUUUGAUGUACACAUAGAUUUUGUUUAAAUGUGAUGUAUUUUUGUAAAUGUACCAUUAAUUUUCAGAAUUCUGAGUGUAGGGCUAUAAUUCCUAUAUACAGUCAAUGAAACGUUGGGUAUGCGUGUGUUUGUGUGUGUGUGUUGAAGAAGCAGUAGUUUGUCUAAUGUACCAAGUCCAAGAACAUGUUUAAUUUUUGCUGUUCUCGUUUUAAAUCUUGAAUUGGGUUAAUUUUUUUUCCUUCUACUUCUGAGGUUGCCAUUUGUUGAGCAGCAUUACUCUUUCUUUUAUCACUGAAGGUACAUAUUCUUUUGGUGGUAAACAAAUUUAAAAGAUUGUCGCAAAGGGCAAGAGCUCUAUAUCUCUAAAAUGUAUACUCUACGCAUUUUGUAAAACAUCUUUUCACAUUAUCCUACACAUUAUACCUGUAUUGCAUUAGGUAGUGUAGUCAGAAAUAUCAUUAAAAUUAGAAUACCAUGUUAUCUUAAUCAUGAUAAUGUGUCAUGGGAUUGUUAACAGCUGGCAAAUGAGGUCUGUAAAAGUUAUCAAUAAAUGAGUGUACUAGUUGCAGUCAUGUUUAUUUUUAGCAAAUAACAGAUGACAAUUGGUGCUCAGAAUUACUAUGCACUGCUUUAAUCAACUCUGAAGGCACUCUGAAUUGCCGCCUUGAGGAAUUAAAAAUGACCAAUAUUUUUAUUGAUAGUUGUUGCUAGGUUAUGAUAUAAAGUAUUUGCAAUGAUAGGGAUCAAUAAAGUAUGAAAUAUAUAUAUAUAUAUAUAUAUAUAUAUAUAUAUAAAAGAAAUAUGAAUAAAUAAAGUAGAAAUGAUCUGUACUUGGGGAAGGAGGUAAUAAUGACAAUACAUGUACAUUGAUUAUGUAUUGUGAAAAGAGCUUUGGAAUUGCAGCGCCUUGUAAAAAUCAUGUUUUUUUGGAAAUUUGUUAGUAAUUAUGACGUAAAGUUUGAUAUAUUCUAUAUAUUUCCUGUCAGAUCCUCACAUAUUCCCUAUUUUAUAUUUAUAACGCAUGAGAACAUCCUGUUUCUAUAUUUUCAUAUGCACAGUGAACAUGAUAUGAUAUAUACUUGCAAAAUAUGACAACAUAUCACAUGAAAUAUAUAACCUAUAUUUCAUUCACUUUGAACAGGGUACCGUAUAUACCAUCCAUUACAGUCUACCAUUAUUUUGGGUAUUGUAUGCAAUUUAUCCUAAAAUAUUGAUUUAGAUUGUACACUGUUGUAACGAGUAUGUCGUCUUAUGGGACACAACUGAUAUAUUUUUGUACAGUAGGCUUGCGGAUGCACCAUGUGAGAGAGAGAGGGAGGAUUGAGGAGUCUUAAAAAUGACUGUUGGUGUAGUCUUGAUGUAUUUUUUCAGACAUUGUGUGUGAAAUAUUUGUCAGGCAAUAAUUUCAUAGAUGCCUUACAAAGCAUAAGAAGAUCGAAGGACAAUUACAGUGGUACGGUCUCAGGAGAUUCAGGGUAUUUUUCUUUCAAUUUUCUUCAUCAUGCUAUUUAUUUUCCAGGGUUCCAUUGUGCAGCUCAUAUUGUUGACAUCUAUGGGAGACUGAUUCAUUUUUUUCAUAUAAAUAUUAUUUUAUAUUCUUACUACAUUGUGCUUUCACCACUUACAGCUUCUCACUAACAUGUCAGCUGUAAGACUUUUGACAUAUUUUUUAUCUAUUUUUGAACAGUUUGUCAUGUUUUUCAUCAUUCUUUUACACAUUGUAUCUUUAUCAAUGACUCCAUAAUGUAUACAGGUUCACUCUUUGUAAGGUAUUACCUAAUUAUGAACUAUAAUUCCUUCAUUUUCAGGACGGAUAUAACUGGGAUUGAAUAGAUACAAAAUGAGUGAAUAUAUUAAAGAUAGUUUGAGGUUAAUAUAUUAAGUGCACGUAACUUUAGACCUUGUGUAGAAUGGUACUAUUUAAAAAAAAUAUAUUUAUACUAUUACAUAAGUAUGUAUUCAAAGCUAAUGUGAAGAUUGAUCAUGAAUUAUUGUGUAACCUGCUAGCCUCUGGGACUGUUAUUCAUUACUGUGAUGUAAUCCAAUAUAUUCCUCAUAGUAAAUUCAACUUCCGGAACACAUUCAAAGUAUGCAGAUUUAUUUUCAAUAUGUCACAUCCGUCUUCGAGGAAAAUUAAGAUUAUUUAGUUUUGAAUAUAGGAGUGAAAUAUAUUAGUGUGCACAAAUUUAUGGUUGAAAUGAAAUGUUUUAAUUGUGUUGGCAUUAUUACUAGAGGUAGAUUGAUAAUGUGCCUUCAUGUUCAUGGUGUUAUUAAAGUACAAUUAAUGUUUUAAUACAA